rnacentral:lncRNA from 1 species
GAGAGUGACCGCAUAACUCCACCUGGAGACUUGGGGGGCCCUGUCUGCAGGCAGGCCCUGAGGUUCCUGACGCAGAUCCGGACCCAGCCCCUCAUCAACCUGCAGCUGGUGAACGCGUCGCUGUAUGAGCACGUGGAGCAGAUGCGCCUCAUCGCCAGGGCCCGGGAGCAGCUGAAGCUUCUGGGGGAUUACCUGGGCCUGUGCCGAAGCGGGGCCCUGAAGGAGUUAAGCAAGAGGCUCAACCACAGGAAUUAUCUGUUGGAGUCUCCUCACAAGUACAGCGUCGCUGACCUCCAGCAAAUCGCGGAGGGGGUGUACGAAGGAUUCCUCAAGGCCCUGAUCGAAUUCGCCUCCCAGCACGUCUACCACUGCGACCUGUGCACCCAGCGCGGCUUCAUCUGCCAGAUCUGCCGCCACCAGGACAUCAUCUUCCCCUUUGAGUUUGACACCACAGUCAGGUGCGGUGAAUGCAAGACCGUCUUCCACCAGAGCUGCCAGGCCGUGGUGAAGAAGGGCUGCCCCCGCUGUGCCCGCCGGCGCAAGUACCAGCAGCAGAGUACUUAACCCAUCUCCUGUCCCCACCCAUCCCCGCUGGGUUGGCCAUUACCUGGGCCACACUCUCAAGGUGGCAUGAUGUCUCCCUUGUCAGGAUGACUCUCAUGUGACCAGGGCACAAGCCCACGUGCUCUGGGGUGUGACCGUGAGAGGGAGCCUCAGGAGCCCUUGUUGGCCACCCUCCACCCCCGCAACCCCCAUCUGCUCCAGGAGGCGGGGGUACCAGCAGGUGCCCCAUCCAUUCGAGGAUGCAUGGGGAGGGGGGCUCCGAGCUCAGUGGCCCAGCUCCCCUCACCGACACCACAUCUCCAUUAGGGCUGUGCAAACACUGUGCAAACAAGACUUGGGGAGCUUUUUCACUUCCACAUUCCUGAUUCAAAGGUCUAGUUUUUUAAGGUGGGUUUUUUUCCCUUCAUGUUUCAACAGAAAGUAUUUUUUUAUUCUUGCCCCCCCCCACACAAGUCACCCACAAAAUCCAGGCACUUCACCCUGAGCAGAGGUGCAGGAACCACUCCACUCAGGCCUGGCCUGCCGGUGGGUGGUGACCAAGCAGACAGGCCACCCAGGGCAGAGCUUGUCAGCUGCCUUCCUUCACCCUCACCAGGCGCUUGCUGCCGACAGCUCCCGUGCAACGUGCCAAACCGCCGUGGGGCCAGGCGGGGCUCAGUCCUGACGGCCCCCUUCUUCCUCUCCCUCUCCGCUCUGCUCCCCACCCCCUCCUCGCCCAAAGAAUCCAUCACUUUCUCCGUGUCCGAGCCCCUGGCCCUCCUGGGGUCUUGGUCCCGCAGGAGGAGGGGAACGACUCAGAACCAGCAUUGUCGGCACUUUGAGCCGUUCUUGGUCCAGGGAAGGGUCGUGGUCCAGCCCGCACCGUCCCCUGCUCUCCUCACUCCUACCGCCGACAAAGCAGCUGGACAGGCCGGUGCUGCUACAGAUGCGCUUCACUUCGGGAACACAGCCUGACUGACCCCAGCCGGGACAGGGUGGGCCGGGCCCGCACUGUGCCACAGUGACCCCAUCCUUCCACGAAGAGUGUCAGCCCUGCUGCUGAGAGUGCCGGGACAUGGGGGAGAAGCCACCCUUGUGGAAGGAUGCUCAGCCUCAGUUUAUGAAGCCAUGAGGUCACCAAACUUUGCUGGACUGGCCCCGGAGGGGCGCUGCUAAGAGACUGGAAAUUUUCUUAGGAGCACGAUUGCCUUUUGAAGGGGCCUUCAGGUGGAGUGAGAGCCUGGAACUGUUUUUAAAGUGAUAUUUAGACCCUUGCGGGGGUGGGGGUGGGAGUGGGCUCUGGGUGGGAUUUCUCUGUUGCCUUCCCCACCCCUCCUGGGCCCAGCAGGCCUGCCUCAGCCCUGGGUCCUCCUUUCCGCACCCAUCUUGGAAUGGGGGCCUCAGGUGGAGAUCCAAGUUCACUGUCAAGAGAUGAACCUACUCCCACCUCUCCCUUGGGGUGAUUUGGCUGCUGAGUCACCUGCCCAGCCCUGUGGAGCCGGAUGAAUUGUGCAAUAGAAUAGAGGAGGCGGUAGGCAGGUGGGGGAGGGGGCUGCCCCACAGCUGCUCUGUCCCCAUCUGGUGCACCCCUGUGCCCAGUACCCCACCGCCUCCUCAAUAGGAAGGUCGAUCCUUAUUCCCUCAUCCCCAGCCUCCCCCCACCCAAAGCCAGCAUUAACACUCCAUCGUAAACACAGCCUGAUCAGAGCCAUAACUGGCCCAGAUCCCUGAGUGGGCCUGAGGUGCGCAGUGCCCCCUGAGCCUGGUUCCUCGGGCCUGUGAAUAUAUUCUGUAUUCCAGAAGGUGCCUAGGAGGCAGCAGGAGGGAGGCCCUUGAGGAGCUCACUCUGGUCCAGAGGGGCCUGAGGCACCCCACUUCCCACCCUCCCAGAGAUAAGUAGCAUCAGACCCUGCCCCAAACCAAGAAGCUGCUGAUGCUUUCAGAUGACUUGACUUGUAUCCCUUCACCUCCAAUGGAAAGCUGAUGUGAACCUUGGUAGUGCCCACACUAUUUUUAAAAUUUCAUUUUAUGCAAUAAACUGUUUCUAGAGAGGGGCCCCGGCCCUGAGAAGUGCUUUGCAAUGUACCGAAGGAACUGCUGCCAUGUGGAGUUUUUUUUUUGUUUUUUGUUUUUUGUUUUUGGAAUGAUUUUUG